rnacentral:rRNA from 1 species
GUCCACGCCCUAAACGAUGAAUGCCAGUCGUCGGCAAGCAUGCUUGUCGGUGACACACCUAACGGAUUAAGCAUUCCGCCUGGGGAGUACGGUCGCAAGAUUAAAACUCAAAGGAAUUGACGGGGCCCGCACAAGCGGUGGAGCAUGUGGUUUAAUUCGAAGCAACGCGCAGAACCUUACCAACCCUUGACAUGUGUAUCGCGGUUCCAGAGAUGGUUCCUUCAGUUCGGCUGGAUACAACGCAGGUGCUGCAUGGCUGUCGU